GUGCUUAACACAUGCAAGUCGAACGAUGAAGCCUAGCUUGCUAGGUGGAUUAGUGGCGCACGGGUGAGUAAUAUAUAGAUAACGUGCCUCUUAGUCUGGGAUAGCCAUUGGAAACGAUGAUUAAUACUAGAUACUCCUUCUCAUUCUAAUAUGAGUCGGGAAAGUUUUUCGCUAAGAGAUCGGUCUAUAUCCCAUCAGUUAGUUGGUAAGGUAACGGCUUACCAAGGCAAUGACGGGUAGCGGGUUUGAGAGGAUGAUCCGCCACACUGGUACUGAGACACGGACCAGACUCCUACGGGAGGCAGCAGUGAGGAACAUUGCACAAUGGGGGAAACCCUGAUGCAGCAACGCUGCGUGGAGGAUGACGCAUUUCGGUGUGUAAACUCCUUUUACGAGUCAAGAAAAUGACGGUAGCUCGUGAAUAAGCACCGGCUAACUCCGUGCCAGCAGCCGCGGUAAUACGGAGGGUGCAAGCGUUACUCGGAAUCACUGGGCGUAAAGGACACGUAGGCGGGAUGCCAAGUCUGAUGUGAAAUCCUAUGGCUUAACCAUAGAACUGCAUUGGAAACUGGUAACCUAGAGUAUGGGAGGGGGAGAUGGAAUUAGUGGUGUAGG
rnacentral:rRNA from 1 species